GACCUUUGAAAAGUCGUCGCUAAAUCUGUCUUGCAGCGACUGGGUCGCUCCUAUUCACUUUUAAAAUAAUAAAAGAAAAUUAAAAUAGAUCUUUCUCUCCUAAUUAAACACUCUCGAACAGAUCAAAGAGCACAAAUUAAAGUGAAGAACAGAAGCUCACAAAACUCCCACUAGAAAUCGGUCCUCUCUCUAGAAAUCAGUACUCUUCUGCUAAAAUUUCACCCAAAUCGAAAUCCCUCAAAUAAAAAUGUGAAUCUCAUUUGUCAGGUAUAUUCAAAUCCCUAAUCUUUUCGUUUUUCUUUGGGGAAAGAAGUUGCUUUGCUGUAAUCGAUUUCGUGGAGGUACAAUGGAACGAACGAUUUCUCUUCCAUAAUCUAACUGAAAACCUUCUUAUUUUGUUACUAUUAUAUGUCUAACUGAAAACCCAUAUUGAUUUAUAUAAGAUAUAUUUACAUUUGGAUUUUUUUAUAAUGAUUUUGUAAGACAAAAUUUUCAACAUGUAGUUAGGGAUAAUUAUUCAGCAAUUUCACAUUUGUAUUCUCAGAUUUCAUCUCGAAUUUCUCUCAGCCAUUUGAUAAUCUAUAGGAAUACAAAAACAAUCACACAUAAAGAAUCAUUUGAAUCCUAUUUGGUAUUAUUGUCGAUUCUCGGUCUUGACAGAAUCUCAACUAUUUCUUUUUCUGGGUAAGUUAAAAGUUUCUUCUUGAGAGACCUUUUAAAUGUCGACAUUCCAUUCUUAUUUUGUUCUUAUAUGGUUAUGUGCCUAAAUCAGUAAACAUGUAGUUUUUUAUUUUAUAAGGCACAUAUAUGUUAUUGUAUGGUUAUAAGAAAACAUAAUACUUCUUUGCGAAUGAUGUUCUUUUGAAACAUUCUACACAUUUUUUACAUUAGAAUUAGAUGCAUGUAUUCGAGCACUUAAUCAAUAAUCUGAAUGUAAAAUGCUUUCUUGAUCAUCUAAAAAUAGAGUCUAGAGCCUAUCAAUUUAGGGUUAGAUGCAUAUAUAUAUAUAUAUAUAUAUAUAUAUAUAUAUAUAUAUAUAUAUAUAUAUAUAUAUAUAUGUACACAUAUUAUUUAAUACGAAACUUUCAACAGCAGAUGCAUUUUGCAACUAUAUAUACUUGCACCUGGUAGAUGAAGGUGGUAUUUGAAUUAAGUUAGAGACUAUAAUGGUAGUUUCUUCAUUUGCUCUCAAAUGCAUAUUAUUUGAUAUGAUAAUUGAUUAGUUGUCUUUUCUUUGAUAUUUUUCUAGAUGAGUAAAAAUAUUGAUAUGAUUGAAGCAUAACUAUGUGGGCAAAACUUGGACUAAAGAAAAUUUUAUAAAUUGAGUUUUGGGUUGUCGUCUAGUGUUCAUGCAUAGAAUUUGUUUUGUAAAAGCCUUGUUGGCAAUUUCUUUUGAAAGAGAUUAUGUGUUAAGUUUCAUAAAUAUAUAGUCUCAUGCUCACUGAAGCUAUAGUCUCAUGCUCACAGGUUAAAACGCUUGAACUGAACAAAAAAUAAGAUUCAUGACACUUUGGGUCUAGUUGGGUAAGAUAUGUUAAACCUGUUUAUCAUUGUGGUGUUUAUAUUAUCAUUAACUUUUAUCUUCUCAAUAUCAUUAAAGUGUUCUUGGAAAGAUCCAGCAUAUCAUUUGGUAAUAAAAUGAUUUAAUUAACAGAAAAUUUAGAAGUUGUUGAAAGGGAGUGGCAGCUAGUUUAUUGUAGCUAGAGAUGGAUGCGUCUUGAGCAGAGUAGAUGCUUCUCUAUUUUCUCUACAUGUUUGUUCCAAGUUUAGAACCUCCCUGAAUCUGCCAAAAGAUGAGUUUUCUCAAAAGCUAAACCAUAAAUAUGAAUAUGCCAUAGUCUAGAAAGUAAUUUCAUAAAAAAGGAGAGCAUUGUCCAUCAGUUGUAAUGCAUAUUGCAUUUUGAAAAUGAUAGAACAAAAAGAUUUGCUUUACUUUACUUUACUGAUUUAUAACUGAUUCUAAAAUGAUUGCACCAAAAAAAUGGAUAAAUUUUUAAGUGUGUCUUCUGCUCUCUUUUAUAAGUGCCUAAAGGAAUUGCACAUCAAAAUCUCAAUCUUGUGUUCAUCCCCACUUCUUUUCUUCUUACUGAAAAAGAAAGCUUCUUUGUCUCUCAAAUGUAACAAAACUCUGAAUGACUUUGAAUAAUCAAAGGAGCAGAGUAGAACAAAUAAUGUCAUUCAUGUCUCGCCAAAGGCAAUAAUGAGUUUAGAUUUCUUUUCUAGAGGAAAUGGAUGAGAUUAUGAUAGUAACUAUCAAAAAAGUUUGAAUACUUCAUUUUGGAUGAUCAAAUAUUCCCUCUUAUAUAUAACUUAAGUAGAAAAAUCCCAUGUUUUAUUACCUCUUCAUGUUUAUUAUUUGGUUAUUUACUUUUUUUAAUUACUUAUUAAUGUAUCCCAUGGCUUGUAUAUAAUGUCUUUUGUGCAUUUGUUUGAGUGUUUCAAUUCAAGGUGUGAAAUUUGGUCUACCGCCCAUCACAUAUGCUGAAAUGGAACUGUUCCAUGGCUUGAGUUUGAGUAUGUUGGCAAUGCUGCUUACAACAUAAUUCCACUCAUGAUAUUAGGGGGUCGAACUUAAGCUUAUUUUUGUCCUCUACCCAAGUGUACACAAUCUAUCUAUAGGGAGAGUCAAGUUUAUUUUAAUGAGGAAGGGUCUUCCUAUAGUUACGAGAGUGAUUAGAAAUUUGAUUUAGAUACGCCUUUUGUGUGUUGGACAUAAUCUAUGAUUUCAAGUUAAACUUUAUAAAUAAAUGUCAAAAUAUGUAUAAAUAAAUUAAGCAAAUAUAUCAAAACUCACAGAACUGUAAUGUAAACCUGUGAUUCAUUUAUGUAUGUUUUUGGAUAUUAUAAGCACAUGAAAGCUUGUACUGUACUCAUCUAUGCAUGUUUUUGGAUAUAACAAAUCUCAUUAUGUUCCUUAUAUAUAUUGCUUUAGUCUAGCAGUGACAAGGCACUUAAACAGUGGUAACGUUCAAGAAAAGUGUCAACCAAGGAGUAGUUACAAGGCACUUAGUAUUUUAUCUUUUUGGGAUAUGUAUAUGCGUACAAUUAUAAUGUACAAUGAAGUGUCGUGUAGUACAUAUGUAAUUGACUUUGUAUAAUGAAAAUAUUUAUAAUAUUUGGCUUGAGAAAUUCUUUUGGUGUUUGUUAAAUAUUAUUAGUUGCUU
rnacentral:lncRNA from 1 species